rnacentral:rRNA from 1 species
GACGAACGCUGGCGGCGUGCUUAACACAUGCAAGUCGAACGGGAGUAUUGAAGAAGCUUGCUUUAGAGAUACUUUAGUGGCGGACGGGUGAGUAACGCGUGAGGAGCUGUCCUAUGCAGGGGGACAACAGCUGGAAACGGCUGCUAAUACCCCAUAAGCCGAGAGGUAAAAGGAUCAAUCCGGCAGAGGAGGUACUCGCGUCCUAUCAGCUAGUAGGUGAGGUAACGGCUCACCUAGGCGAAGACGGGUAGCCGGCCUGAGAGGGCGAACGGCCACACUGGAACUGAGAUACGGUCCAGACUCCUACGGGAGGCAGCAGUGGGGAAUAUUGGGCAAUGGGGGAAACCCUGACCCAGCGACGCCGCGUGGGUGAAG